rnacentral:rRNA from 1 species
AGGGAAAGGUGAAAAGCACCCCGGGAGGGGAGUGAAAUAGAACCUGAAACCGUGAGCCUACAAGCAGUCAGAGCACCAUGUCUUUUAUGGACGGUGUGAUGGCGUACUUUUUGUAGAACGGGCCGGCGAGUUACGGUCAGCAGCGAGGUUAAGGGACUUGACGUUCCGCAGCCGCAGCGAAAGCGAGUCUGAAUAGGGCGCGAUAGUUGCUGGCCGUAGACCCGAAACCGGGUGACCUACCCAUGGCCAGGGUGAAGCUUGGGUGACACUGAGUGGAGGCCCGCACCCACCAAUGUUGAAAAAUUGGGGGAUGAGCUGUGGGUAGCGGUGAAAAGCCAACCGAACCCGGAUAUAGCUGGUUCUCCCCGAAAUAGCUUUAGGGCUAGCCUUGGAGGUUUAGCUGCGGAGGUAGAGCACUGAUUGGGCUAGGGGCCUUACCGGGUUACCGAACUCACUCAAACUCCGAAUGCCGCAGCUUGAUACUCCUGGAGUCAGACUACGGGUGAUAAGAUUCGUGGUCGAGAGGGGAACAGCCCAGACCGUCGGCUAAGGUCCCCAAGUGCAGGCUCAGUGGGAAAGGAUGUGGAGCUGCCCAGACAACCAGGAUGUUGGCUUAGAAGCAGCCAUCAUUUAAAGAGUGCGUAAUAGCUCACUGGUCUAGUGAUUCUGCGCCGAAAAUGUAACGGGGCUAAGCUUGCUACCGAAGCUUCGGAUUCAAAAAGCUUGUUCUUUUUGGAUGGUAGGGGAGCGUUCUGCAUGCGCUGAAGCCGUACUGGAAGGAGCGGUGGAGCGUGUGGAAGUGAGAAUGCCGGCAUGAGUAGCGAUAAGACAGGUGAGAAUCCUGUUCGCCGCAAGCCUAAGGUUUCCUGAGGAAGGCUCGUCCGCUCAGGGUAAGCCGGGACCUAAGCCGAGGCCGGAUGGCGUAGGCGAUGGAGAACUGGUGGAAAUUCCAGUGCCACCUGGAGACCGCUAUGAGCGAUGGGGUGACGCAGGAGGGUAGGCGCAGCGCACCGUUGGUUGAGUGCGUCCAAGCGUGUAGGGAGGGCUUUCAGGCAAAUCCGGGAGCCCGUUAAUCCUGAGGCGCGAUGGGGAGCGAAAUUUUAAGUAGCGAACUGGCUGAUCCCAUACUGCCGAGAAAAGCCUCUAGCCAGGCGUCUGGGUGCCCGUACCGGAAACCGACACAGGUAGGCGAGGAGAGUAUCCUAAGGCGCGCGGGAGAACCCUCGUUAAGGAACUCGGCAAAUUGACCCCGUAACUUUGGGAUAAGGGGUGCCCUGUUAGGGUGAAGGGCUUUGCGCCUGGAGCCCGAGGGGGUUGCAGUGAAUAGGCCCAAGCGACUGUUUACCAAAAACACAGGUCUCUGCGAAGUCGAAAGACGACGUAUAGGGGCUGACGCCUGCCCGGUGCUGGAAGGUUAAGAGGAAGAGUUAUCUGGUCCUUUUGGGUUGGAGAAGCUCUGAAUCUAAGCCCCAGUAAACGGCGGCCGUAACUAUAACGGUCCUAAGGUAGCGAAAUUCCUUGUCGGGUAAGUUCCGACCCGCACGAAAGGCGUAACGACUUGGGCGCUGUCUCGACGAAGGAUCCGGUGAAAUUGUAGUACCUGUGAAGAUGCAGGUUACCCACGACAAGACGGAAAGACCCCGUGGAGCUUUACUGUAGCCUGAUAUUGGACUUUGGUGUUGGAUGUACAGGAUAGGUGGGAGACGUAGAAUCCGGGGCGCCAGCCUCGGUGGAGUCGUCCUUGGGAUACCACCCUUUCAGCAUUGGAGUUCUAACCUUGGGCCGUGAACCGGUCUGGGGACAGUGUCAGGUGGGCAGUUUGACUGGGGCGGUCGCCUCCUAAAGGGUAAC